rnacentral:rRNA from 1 species
AUUGAACGCUGCGGCAGGCUUAACACAUGCAAGUCGAGCGAGCGGCGGACGGGUGAGUAAUGCUUAGGAAUCUGCACCUUCGUGGGGGACAACAUCUCGAAAGGGAUGCUAAUACCGCAUACUCAUAGAUGAGCCUAAGUCGGAUUAGCUAGUUGGUGGGGUAAAGGCCUACCAAGGCGACGAUCGGUAGCGGGUGUGAGGGGAUGAUCCGCCACAUGGGGAAUGGGACAGGGCCCAGACCCCGUCGGGAGGCAGGAGGGGGGAAAUUUGGGAAAUGGGGGGAACCCUGAUGCAGCCAAGCCGGGGGGGGGAAGAAGGCCUUAGGGUUGUAAAGCACUGUGAGCCAGGAGGCGUUACUCGCAGAAGAAGCACCGGCUAACUACGUGCCAGCAGCCGCGGUAAUAC